rnacentral:lncRNA from 15 species
AUGCCACCUGUACAAUCAAAGUACAAGUCCUACUUAUUGGUUAAUAACAAGAAAAUACCAAGGACAACAGAAUACAGACACAUGAAGGGAAAAGGCAGAAGACGGUACAAGCAGUACCUUUACAGCACUGGCGUUGAAGUCCCUGACAGAAUUUUAGAAUGUCAUGACAGAGAACCUCCAGCUCACCAUGAUGCACCACUGCAGUCAACAGCAGGAAAACGGAAGAGUGCUGACAGUAAGAAUGGAUCAGCUGCUGAGGACGAUGUGGUUAAUAUAGGAGAGCACCAGACCAUGCAAGGACCAGGGGCUGAGAGACCCAACCCAAAUCCAUCACAGGUAAGAUAACAAUUACUCACAGGCCAGCAUUUGCAUUACAGGUUGCUUUACUUCUAGUGCUUUAAAGGAGCAUUUCACCCGUGGAAACAUUA